rnacentral:rRNA from 1 species
UANNAUGCAGUNNANGNUAGCAGGAAGGAAGCUUGCUUUCUUUGCUGACGAGUGGCGGACGGGUGAGUAAUGCUUGGGAAUCUGGCUUAUGGAGGGGGAUAACUGCGGGAAACUGCAGCUAAUACCGCGUAAAGUCUUUGGACUAAAGGGGGCGUUUGCUCUUGCCAUAAGAUGAGCCCAAGUGGGAUUAGGUAGUUGGUGGGGUAAUGGCUCACCAAGCCGUCGAUCUCUAGCUGGUCUGAGAGGAUGACCAGCCACACCGGGACUGAGACACGGCCCGGACUCCUACGGGAGGCAGCAGUGGGGAAUAUUGCGCAAUGGGGGGAACCCUGACGCAGCCAUGCCGCGUGAAUGAAGAAGGCCUUCGGGUUGUAAAGUUCUUUCGGUGAUGAGGAAGGCAGUUUGGUUAAUAGCCAAGCUGAUUGACGUUAGUCACAGAAGAAGCACCGGCUAACUCCGUGCCAGCAGCCGCGGUAAUACGGAGGGUGCGAGCGUUAAUCGGAAUAACUGGGCGUAAAGGGCACGCAGGCGGAUUUUUAAGUGAGGUGUGAAAGCCCCGGGCUUAACCUGGGAAUUGCAUUUCAGACUGGGAAUCUAGAGUACUUUAGGGAGGGGUAGAAUUCCACGUGUAGCGGUGAAAUGCGUAGAGAUGUGGAGGAAUACCGAAGGCGAAGGCAGCCCCUUGGGAAUGUACUGACGCUCAUGUGCGAAAGCGUGGGGAGCAAACAGGAUUAGAUACCCUGGUAGUCCACGCUGUAAACGCUGUCGAUUUGGGGGUUGGGGUUUAACUCUGGCGCCCGUAGCUAACGUGAUAAAUCGACCGUCUGGGGAGUACGGCCGCAAGGUUAAAACUCAAAUGAAUUGACGGGGGCCCGCACAAGCGGUGGAGCAUGUGGUUUAAUUCGAUGCAACGCGAAGAACCUUACCUACUCUUGACAUCCAGAGAAUCCUGUAGAGAUACGGGAGUGCCUUAGGGAGCUUUGAGACAGGUGCUGCAUGGCUGUCGUCAGCUCGUGUUGUGAAAUGUUGGGUUAAGUCCCGCAACGAGCGCAACCCUUAUCCUUUGUUGCCAGCGAUACGGUCGGGAACU